rnacentral:rRNA from 1 species
CCAAUAGCGUAUAUUAAAGUUGUUGCAGUUAAAAAGCUCGUAGUUGAAUUUCGGGAUCAAGGAAUCGGUCAUGCUUAGGUAUGUACUGGUUUUAUUGGUUCUCACCUUCUAAAGAACCAUAAUGUCAUUCAUUUGAUGUUAUGGGGAAUUAGGACUGUUACCUUGAAAAAAUUAGAGUGUUUAAAGCAGGCUUACGCUUGAAUACAUUAGCAUGGAAUAAUGAAAUAGGACAUCAGAUUCUAUUUUGUUGGUUUCUAGGAUCGAUGUAAUGAUUAAUAGGGAUAGUUGGGGGCAUUAGUAUUCAAUUGUCAGAGGUGAAAUUCUUGGAUUUAUUGAAGACUAACUACUGCGGAAGCAUUUGCCAAGGAUGUUUUCAUUAAUCAAGAACGAAAGUUAGGGGAUCAAAGACGAUCAGAUACCGUCGUAGUCUUAACCAUAAACUAUGCCGACUAGGGAUCGGAUGAUGUUAAUUUUAUAAUGACUCAUUCGGCACCUUACG